UACGGGGGGAGCAAGCGUUGUUCGGAUUUACUGGGCGUAAAGGGCGCGUAGGCGGCCACUGCAAGUCAAUUGUGAAAUCUCCGGGCUUAACUCGGAAAGGUCAACUGAUACUGCAGGGCUAGAGUGCGGAAGGGGCAACUGGAAUUCUCGGUGUAGCGGUGAAAUGCGUAGAUAUCGAGAGGAACACCUGCGGCGAAGGCGGGUUGCUGGGCCGACACUGACGUGAAGCGCGAAAGCUAGGGGGAGCGAACGGG
rnacentral:rRNA from 1 species